UUUAGGCCCUGAACAGGACCCAGGUGGUGGAUGUUAAUUUUAGGCCCUGAACAGAACCCAGGUGGUGGAUGUUAAUUUUAGGCCCUGAACAGAACCCAGGUGGUGGAUGUUAAUUUUAGGCCCUGAACAGAACCCAGGUGGUGGAUGUUAAUUUUAGGCCCUGAACAGAACCCAGGUGGUGGAUGUUAAUUUUAGGCCCUGAACAGAACCCAGGUGGUGGAUGUUAAUUUUAGGCCCUGAACAGAACCCAGGUGGUGGAUGUUAAUUUUAGGCCCUGAACAGAACCCAGGUGGUGGAUGUUAAUUUUAGGCCCUGAACAGAACCCAGGUGGUGGAUGUUAAUUUUAGGCCCUGAACAGAACCCAGGUGGUGGAUGUUAAUUUUAGGCCCUGAACAGAACCCAGGUGGUGGAUGUUAAUUUUAGGCCCUGAACAGAACCCAGGUGGUGGAUGUUAAUUUUAGGCCCUGAACAGAACCCAGGUGGUGGAUGUUAAUUUUAGGCCCUGAACAGAACCCAGGUGGUGGAUGUUAAUUUUAGGCCCUGAACAGAACCCAGGUGGUGGAUGUUAAUUUUAGGCCCUGAACAGAACCCAGGUGGUGGAUGUUAAUUUUAGGCCCUGAACAGAACCCAGGUGGUGGAUGUUAAUUUUAGUCCCUGAACAGGACCCAGGUGAUGGAUGUUAAUUUUAGGCCCUAUCUUUUAGGCCCAGCUAUCUAAACUUGUAGUAAUCAUGGUUGAAUUACCUAUCGUGGGGGCCCAAAUUAAUUUUGUUAGUCACUCAGACAUCAUCUUAACAUUUCGCUUAGGGCCCCCAAAAGGCAAUGGCCUGCAUGUGUGGGUCUGGAUGUGGGUAUGUUACGACCCUGAACAAGGGGAGAAAGAAUCACGAGAGUGAUACGGUCUUGUUUCCUCAAUAAUAACUUUUAGUGCAAUCAUUUUACAAAAGUAACACAU